UAUCCCUACGGGGCGCAGCAGUAGGGAAUAUUGCUCAAUGGGGGAAACCCUGAAGCAGCAACGCCGCGUGGAGGAUGAGGGUUUUAGGAUUGUAAACUCCUUUUGCGAGAGAAGAUAAUGACGGUAUCUCACGAAUAAGCACCGGCUAACUCCGUGCCAGCAGCCGCGGUAAUACGGAGGGUGCAAGCGUUACUCGGAAUCACUGGGCGCAAAGAGUGCGCAGGCGGGCUUGUAAGUCAGAUGUGAAAUCCUGUAGCUUAACUACAGAACUGCAUUUGAAACUAUGGGUCUAGUGUGUGGGAGAG
rnacentral:rRNA from 1 species